AUGGUCUCAGGGGGCGUGAAUAAAGGCGAGGAAGAGCAAACAGGUUCCUGGUUCUGUGGGUGGGGUGAGCCUGGGACAGGGAACGGUGGGACUGGUGUCAUACACAUGGUCGAACAGACAGGGUCAUGUGAAGAGAGGUGCUCAAACUCUUGGGUGUGUGCGUGUGCUGGGGUGUGUGCGCAUGCAUGCGAGUGUGUGUGUGUGUGUGUGUGUGUGUGUGUGUUUGCUCUCGCUUUUACUCCGGUUUCUUUCCAACCUCUCCUUAUAUGGUGUGGCUCCAGAGCAGGCUGGGGAUUGGCUGCUGCGGUUGGGAGACUGGGAGCUUGGAAGAAAGGAGGAAGAGAAACGAACCACGCAGGGGCUGGGGGCUGGAGCCGGAGUCAGAGAAACUCGUGGGCUUCUCCUCUUUCUUCUCACCCUAAACCGCCUACCGGCUGUGCGGAACAGCAGCCUAGGAAGCCGUCAGCACUUCAGGCAUUGAGUUCUUCACCUGUCUCCACUCCUGACCCUUUCAACUGCGCGUCCUGGAGCUCCUCGUCUCCCUAUCCUAGGGCCUCCCCAAAGAUUAUCCCUUCUCCAGCAUUUGUAUAA
rnacentral:lncRNA from 12 species